rnacentral:rRNA from 1 species
UACAGGGGGGGCAAGCGUUGUUCGGAAUUACUGGGCGUAAAGGGUCUGUAGGUGGCCAACUAAGUCAGACGUGAAAUCCCUCAGCUUAACUGGGGAACUGCGUCUGAUACUGGAUGGCUUGAGUGUGGGAGAGGAAUGCGGAAUUCCAGGUGUAGCGGUGAAAUGCGUAGAUAUUCGCAAGAACACCAGUGGCGAAGGCGGCUCACUGGCCCGGUACUGACGCUGAGGUGCGAAAGCGUGGGGAGCAAACAGG